rnacentral:rRNA from 1 species
AUACGUAGGUGACAAGCGUUAUCCGGAUUUACUGGGCGUAAAGGGCGUGUAGGCGGUCUUGCAAGUCAGAAGUGAAAUUCCUGAGCUCAACUCGGGCGCUGCUUCUGAAACUGCAGGACUUGAGUGCUGGAGGGGAUAGCGGAAUUCCUAGUGGAGCGGUAAAAUGCGCAGAUAUUAGGAAGAACACCGGUGGCGAAGGCGGAUAUCUGGACAGUAACUGACGCUGAGGCGCGAAAGCGUGGGGAGCAAACAGGAUUAGAUCCCCGGGUAGUCCACGCCGUAAACGAUGAAUACUAGGUGUAGGGGGUAUCGACUCCCUCUGUGCCGCAGUUAACACAAUAAGUAUUCCGCCUGGGGAGUACGGCCGCAAGGUUGAAACUCAAAUGAAUUGGCGGGG